AGUGUUGUUUUGCCUCACUUUUGGUAUACAGUUCAGCUUCGUCUCUUGAAGAUUCUCCUGGACUCGUGGUUGGGUUAAGUGGCCAUAAUGCUCCGUGUGGCACUACAGCAGACCCAGACUGGCCUGUGACGCUCCUCCACCGUACUUGUAUCAUGCGAGGCUAACCCUUAACGUCUGGCCUUCAACUUUAAAAAUUCAGUUAAAAUGAAUCAGCCUACACUACUGGUGUGGGUGUCGGGCCGACGGCUCCAUGGUGGUAUUAGUCUCCUGAGCAAAAAGUUGCCAAAAAACUGUCUCCUUUCGCCGAAGCACUUCUUCAAAGAAAGCGUCUCUACAGUUCUCCAAAGUUAUAAAUUAACUGAAGGUGAUCAUACUGAAUACUUCAUACCCAAGACUUCUACAAAUUAGGCAUUCAGGCAACAUCACCUUGACAAGGUAACUGAGGAAAGGAUAGAACGACAAAUCUGAGAAUCUGUACGCUGGUACAACAUGGUCACUCUCAAUUAUGGACAAAGGUGGUGGUCGCCGGAGAGAAUCGGUAAUAGCGGGAAUCCGUCUUUGAUACAAAAGUCUAUAGAUACCGAAUGGAAUCAGUUGAGCAGCGAAGUUGCAGAAUCGGUAAAGUGAUAAUGUUAACGUGAGACUUUAGAUAUGUGUAGCAAACUGUUGAGCUAAAACGGUCAAAUACUGUUCUUUAUUACCCGUUUUUGCACUAACAUGAUAAAAAUGUUAUUGUUGACAAAGGUUAAUGUCUGAGAAUCUUCCCCACUUGAGUUAGGCAAGUCCCAGCUGUGUCUGGGUAAAAGUGACAAGAUGAACCCAGCGGGUUUUUCUUCCUAUUAAGAUUGUUGUACAUGCUGCUAUGGCGGUGUGUC